rnacentral:misc_RNA from 1 species
GAAAUGCGAUAAGUAGUGUGAAUUGCAGAAUUCAGUGAAUCAUCGAAUCUUUGAACGCACAUUGCGCCCCUUGGUAUUCCAUGUGGCAUGCCUGUUCGAGCGUCAUUUGUACCCUCAAGCUCUGCUUGGUGUUGGGUGUUUGUCCUGCGAUUUUCGCGGACUCGCCUUAAAGCAAUUGGCAGCCAGUGUAUCAGUCCUUGAGUGCAGCGCAUUUUGCGCUCAUGGUGCUGUGAACUAGCGUCCAGAAGGCCUUUUUACGCUCUUGACCUCGGAUCAGGUAGGGAUACCCGCUGAACUUAAGC